rnacentral:rRNA from 1 species
UACGUAGGGGGCAAGCGUUGUCCGGAAUCAUUGGGCGUAAAGAGCGUGUAGGCGGCCCGAUAAGUCCGCUGUGAAAGUCCAGGGCUCAACCCUGGGAUGCCGGUGGAUACUGUCGGGCUCGAGUCCGGAAGAGGAGUGUGGAAUUCCUGGUGUAGCGGUGAAAUGCGUAGAUAUCCGGAGGAACACCAAUUGCGAAGGCAGCUCGCUGGGACGUUACUGACGCUGAGACGCGAAAGCGUGGGGAGCAAACAGG